GGCCCAUUAGCUCAAUUGGUAGAGCAGCUGACUCUUAAUCAGUUGGUUGCAGGUUCGAGUCCUGCAUGGGUCACUA
rnacentral:tRNA from 1 species